rnacentral:rRNA from 1 species
AACGAACGCUGGCGGCAUGCCUAACACAUGCAAGUCGAACGAGACCUUCGGGUCUAGUGGCGCACGGGUGCGUAACGCGUGGGAACCUGCCCUUAGGUUCGGAAUAACUCCCCGAAAGGGGUGCUAAUACCGGAUAAUGUCUUCGGACCAAAGAUUUAUCGCCUUUGGAUGGGCCCGCGUUGGAUUAGCUAGUUGGUAGGGUAAAAGCCUACCAAGGCGACGAUCCAUAGCUGGUCUGAGAGGAUGAUCAGCCACACUGGGACUGAGACACGGCCCAGACUCCUACGGGAGGCAGCAGUGGGGAAUAUUGGACAAUGGGCGAAAGCCUGAUCCAGCAAUGCCGCGUGAGUGAUGAAGGCCUUAGGGUUGUAAAGCUCUUUUACCCGGGAUGAUAAUGACAGUACCGGGCGAAUAAGCUCCGGCUAACUCCGUG